AUUAGCUAGUUGGUGAGGUAAUGGCUCACCAAGGCGACGAUCAGUAGCCGACCUGAGAGGGUGAUCGGCCACAUUGGAACUGAGACACGGUCCAAACUCCUACGGGAGGCAGCAGUGGGGAAUAUUGCACAAUGGGCGAAAGCCUGAUGCAGCAACGCCGCGUGAGCGAUGAAGGCCUUCGGGUCGUAAAGCUCUGUCCUCAAGGAAGAUAAUGACGGUACUUGAGGAGGAAGCCCCGGCUAACUACGUGCCAGCAGCCGCGGUAAUACGUAGGGGGCUAGCGUUAUCCGGAUUUACUGGGCGUAAAGGGUGCGUAGGCGGUCUUUCAAGUCAGGAGUGAAAGGCUACGGCUCAACCGUAGUAAGCUCUUGAAACUGUAAGACUUGAGUGCAGGAGAGGAGAGUGGAAUUCCUAGUGUAGCGGUGAAAUGCGUAGAUAUUAGGAGGAACACCAGUUGCGAAGGCGGCUCUCUGGACUGUAACUGACGCUGAGGCACGAAAGCGUGGGGAGCAAACAGGAUUAGAUACCCUGGUAGUCCACGCUGUAAACGAUGAGUACUAGCUGUCGGAGGUUACCCCCUUCGGUGGCGCAGCUAACGCAUUA
rnacentral:rRNA from 1 species